UAAUUUAUACCCAAAUCCUUCCCCAAACCAAGGACCAAAACUAAACCUACCCGAUCAUCUUUGUUAAAACCAAACAACCAUGUUUUUGCUUUCUUUCAUUAGAAUCGUUGGAUCAUUGUGAUCCAACUGCUCGAAACUGGCCAUCCAGACAGACCCCCCCCCACCCCCAAUCACCCCUCUCAUUAACUUCCAUCCCCUCGCUGCCUCCGCAGUUGACCACCCACCUCCGGUGCUCCAAAACCCUACAAAAUUAAAAACAUACAAUCACAUUCACAUCCCCUUUCCAGAUUUCCAAACCGGUUUCCUUAAGUCUGUCUCACUCUCCUCGAAUCGUAGAUAAAACUUUUAGAAAAAACCUCAUCUUUUCCCUUUUUAUUUUUUUGGCCAGUUUCUGGGAUUUGUGACCCAAAAACAUCCAUUAGUUUAUUGUUCUUAUUAAGAAAAGUUGAUUAACGGUCGCCCAAGUCCAUCUUUCCCGGUUAGAUUUGGCCAGAUCCAUAGCUAGUCCCUUCGUCUAAGGAGCAUAGGCAAUUCUUCUUAAUUUUCUGCUAUUUUUCUUUCUUUUCUUUUUGGUUUUCUUUUGCCUUUUCAAGUUCAUGUUUCUGUUUAGUCGCAUGAUUUAGGGUUUGUUUCUAUUUUUAAUCGUUAGUUGUUUGCUUACACUUUGUUCAUUAGAUUAACCAAAGCAUGCCAAGACUUCAUCAUCUGAAAGUUAAUUUAUAUUUGCAUAGGUUUGUUUUAAUUAGGUCCAAUCUUUUUAGGGUUUUCGAUAAAAUGGCUAUUUUGUUUUUCUCUUAUUGUUUGUUCUAGUUCAAAGUUAAUUAGAAUGAUUAUGAAAGUUGAUAAACAUUCUAUUUGAUUUAUUUUUGAUUAGUUGUUAAGAAUUAUAGUUUUGUUAAUUAAUUUUUUUGAUUCUUAAACUUAUUAGUUUAGGAUUUCUUUGCAGUUUUAUGUUAAUUUUAGUAUAUGCAUUAGUCGUUUUAAAUAUUGUUUUUUAUAUUUUUAAUUAGAUCAAUACUUUUAUUUACUAAUCAGGUUAUUCUUUUUUUUUAUUGCAUCAUUUUAUGAUUUUGUUGCCACUUUAAUUUGCAUUUUGAUCUUUCGAUUGACUAUUGUUUUUUAUUUGCCUUAGUUUGUAAAGCAAUAGAAACUUGUAGUGGCCUAAUUGAAUUAAAAGAAGCUUAGGAUAGUUUUCAGAAAAAUAUAUAAGAAAAAAAGGUUCUAGAAGUAUACAGUUGUCCUGAAUUAUUUUAAAAGAUGAUGUAAAUUGACAGGUGUUCGUUAUUCUCUGUCAAAAAGGUUAUACAAUCUAAGGAAUUUGGUAUAGAAGAUUUCUAGAUGCUAUUUUUGGAAAUGCCCUAUAGAAAGAAAUCUAUACAGUCAUUCUCACACACAAUUAGAUUUUCUAAACCCUAAAAAAUUCACUACAAAGUUCAACUACUGUAUUCGUAAUAGUUGUUUGUCUUGUUCAUUUUUGGCAAGAAACUAAAAGAAUUUCUUUCAGAUUUUUCUAGGUUUCAUAUGUCGAAAAUGGUUUGAAUAGGAGGGUUUUCUAGUUUCAUUACGGUAUAUUGUGGUAAGCGAUGUAGCUGUGUUAAAGUUUAAUUUUGAUUUAUGGUUGCUGACUUUUAGGUUCGGUUGUUGCACAAUUGUUCUAAGCUUUCAACCAUCUUUUUCAUCUAUUGGUUGCUGAUUUUGUUGUUUUUUAUUUAUUAAUCCAGGUAAUUCUUUAAUGAUUUGUUGAAAUUGUAUAAAAUUAGAGUUUUAAAUGAUAUGAGUAUAAAUGAAUUUCUUUCAUGCUAUUAGUAGUGUUACAUUAAUAUAGAAUUGCUUGGUUUUCAUUAUCUGAGUUUAAAGUUUGGAGUGAUUUGACAUAAUUAACUUAGUUAAUCCAUGGAUGCUUUGUAGCAUUACCUUACAAUAGCCUUGUUUUGAAGAUGUGUCUUAAGCCAAGUAUUUUCUUUGUUAACGCUGAUCCUGCAAUAUUUAGUGAUGUAUUCUGUUUUUGUUAAGCGGAUGGUAUACUGUGUACUUGAGGUCAUUUGGGUUUGUCUACUGACCAUGAGCUAUUACCUAUAGAUUUGGCCACCAGCUGGCCAAAUCAGCAGGCUCAAAAGCUGAAAGUUGGGAUCCUACAUUUUGAUGUGGUAAAUCUAGUACUUCUUCAUGAGCAAGACCAAGCUUUUGAUGGACAAAUGAUUUCCAAGACACAGGAAAUCUUUUGGUUACUAAUUAUAUGAAAAUUAUAAUAGAUUAGUUCUUAAUGUAGUAGUUCAUUAUUGAUAGGUUCUAAUGUAAUAUGAUUUGGUUUUGGAAAGCCUUUUUAUUUAGCAAAUUACAAUAAAUUAGUCUUUAUUUCAUGUAUUGAGUAUAAAAAUAAUUACUACAGAAGUGUAUUCAUUUUUUUUAUCACAUUAUCGUAAGACUAGUGGUGGAAUGGGCUGCUAUUAGCCCGAUUUUUAAGGGUGAAAGGGCUAUCCUCUGAUUCAAGUGAGUUGAACUUCUGAGUAAACUUGAUGGAAAAACAAACCAUAGAUGAAUCUGGGCUUUGGCUAUUAGGCCUUUAUUUUAAGCCCAAUAGAUCGGUUCAGUUGUAGAAGUCUCUUUUAUGAAUUAUGGUAUAAGUGUAUGCAUUGUUUAUCUUGCAAUAUGUCUCGUGUGAUCAAUUUUCGAACU
rnacentral:lncRNA from 1 species